GACGAACGCUGGCGGCGUGCUUCAUACAUGCAAGUCGAACGAGAAGCUGACUUCGGUCAGUGGAAAGUGGCGGACGGGUGAGUAAUAUGUAGGAAAUCUGCCUUUAGGAGGGGGACAACAGAGGGAAACUUCUGCUAAUACCCCAUAUGAGCGUAGCUGAAAUGCUAUUCUUGAAAACUCCGGUGCCUAAAGAUGAGCCUGCAUCUGAUUAGCUAGUUGGUAGUGUAAUGGACUACCAAGGCGACGAUCAGUAGCUGGUUUGAGAGGAUGAUCAGCCACAAUGGGACUGAGACACGGCCCAUACUCCUACGGGAGGCAGCAGUAGGGAAUUUUGCCCAAUGGGCGAAAGCCUGACGCAGCAACGCCGCGUGAACGAUUAAGCCCUUCGGGGUGUAAAGUUCUGUCAGUGGGGACGAAACUUGACGGUACCCACAGAGGAAGCACCGGCUAACUCCGU
rnacentral:rRNA from 1 species